GUAUAUACACACGAACACAUACACACAUGCUUUCCCGGACCCAACGGUUUAUGAAGAUUCCUUUCAGCUGUUCAGGAGUCCCAGCGCCUUAGAGAGAGGUCACCUAGCCCUGGUGGGAAG